rnacentral:rRNA from 1 species
UACGUAGGGGGCAAGCGUUGUCCGGAAUCAUUGGGCGUAAAGAGCGCGUAGGCGGUCCGGUAAGUCAGGGGUGAAAUCCCAGGGCUCAACCCUGGAACUGCCUUUGAUACUGACGGUCUGGAGAUCGGGAGAGGUUGGUGGAAUUCCGAGUGUAGAGGUGAAAUUCGUAGAUAUUCGGAGGAACACCAGAAGCGAAGGCGGCCAACUGGCCCGAUACUGACGCUGAGGCGCGAAAGCGUGGGGAGCAAACAGG